rnacentral:rRNA from 14 species
ACUCAGGGUCUAUGCUGUCCUGGUGGCCUCCCAAUAUCCUCUGUUCUUGGAAGCUGAGCAGGAUUUGGCCUGGUUAGUUCUUGGACAGGAGAAAUGGCUCUCUGAGUA